GCGAGAGUGGCGGAACUGGCAGACGCACUGGACUUAGGAUCCAGCGCCGCAAGGCUUAGGGGUUCAACUCCCCUCUCUCGCACCA
rnacentral:tRNA from 1 species